rnacentral:rRNA from 1 species
AUUGAACGCUGGCGGCAGGCCUAACACAUGCAAGUCGAGCGGAUGAAGGGAGCUUGCUCCUGGAUUCAGCGGCGGACGGGUGAGUAAUGCCUAGGAAUCUGCCUGGUAGUGGGGGAUAACGUCCGGAAACGGGCGCUAAUACCGCAUACUUCCUGAGGGAGAAAGUGGGGGAUCUUCGGACCUCACGCUAUCAGAUGAGCCUAGGUCGGAUUAGCUAGUUGGUGGGGUAAAGGCCUACCAAGGCGACGAUCCGUAACUGGUCUGAGAGGAUGAUCAGUCACACUGGAACUGAGACACGGUCCAGACUCCUACGGGAGGCAGCAGUGGGGAAUAUUGGACAAUGGGCGAAAGCAUGAUCCAGCCAUGCCGCGUGUGUGAAGAAGGUCUUCGGAUUGUAAAGCACUUUAAGUUGGGAGGAAGGGCAGUAAGUUAAUACCUUGCUGUUUUGACGUUACCAACAGAAUAAGCACCGGCUAACUUCGUG